CCUACGGGAGGCAGCAGUGAGGAAUAUUGGUCAAUGGACAAGAGUCUGAACCAGCCAAGUAGCGUGAAGGAUGACUGCCCUAUGGGUUGUAAACUUCUUUUAUAUGGGAAUAAAAUGUUCCACGUGUGGGAUUUUGUAUGUACCAUAUGAAUAAGGAUCGGCUAACUCCGUGCCAGCAGCCGCGGUAAUACGGAGGAUCCGAGCGUUAUCCGGAUUUAUUGGGGUUAAAGGGAGCGUAGGUGGAUUGUUAAGUCAGUUGUGAAAGUUUGCGGCUCAACCGUAAAAUUGCAGUUGAAACUGGCAGUCUUGAGUACAGUAGAGGUGGGCGGAAUUCGUGGUGUAGCGGUGAAAUGCUUAGAUAUCACGAAGAACUCCGAUUGCGAAGGCAGUUCACUGGACUGCAACUGACACUGAGGCUCGAAAGUGUGGGUAUCAAACAGGAUUAGAUACCCUUGUAGUC
rnacentral:rRNA from 1 species